CCCUUAGAUGUUCUGGGCCGCACACGCGCUACACUGACGGAGGCAGCGAGCAUGUCCUUCGCCGAGAGGUGUGGGGAAUCUUGUGAGUCUCCGUCGUGCUGGGGAUAGAUGGUUGCAAUUGUCGAUCUUGAACGAGGAAUUCCUAGUAAGCGCGAGUCAUCAGCUCGCGCUGAUUACGUCCCUGCCCUUUGUACACACCGCCCGUCGCUACUACCGAUUGGAUGGUUUAGCGAGAGCCUUGGAUUGGAGCCCAGGUGGUCGGCAACGGCCGCUCGGGAUUCCGAGAAAUUGUUCCAGCUGACUCAUCUAGAGGAAGUAAAAGUCGUAACA
rnacentral:rRNA from 1 species